GAAGUAGCUAGCUAAAGUUGGAAUUCCACAUCGUUGUCGCUGUUGUGGACGUAAUAAAAAGAACAGAUUAUUAAGGUAUCAAAUAUGACAAGAGUUAGGCGAAAUAUACGACGCACAUUUGAGAAUUUAAGAUCAAUCGCGAUAUGAACGUGGACAGCAUUCUGUGACUUGCCGAUAUAAGGUACACUAGCUAAUGCGCUCUCGCUAGCUGUAGUCUAGAGCUAGGCUAAUGAGUCCGACGUAGUGACUAGGUUUUGGGGAUGGGUAGCUUUUUGAUGCUUUUAAGAAACAUAUUAAAGGUUAGCCAUCUCGUUCGAUGUAGUUACGUAACGUUAUAUCGUUAACAAAAAAAUAUGAUUGUUUGUUGAUAUUGAGCUGAAGUUUGCAAACCGGGGUAUGCUUUUUAGAACCACCAUACUAGAAAAAUGGCUUGAGGUAGUUAUAUUGACUGUAGCUAACGUUAGCUUUUGGUCCAAGAAACAAAGACAGCCUUGGAAAAAUGUCUAACUAGAUAGGAGACGGUAGUACACAGACGUUAGACACCAAACAAAACGAUCUAAAACCGGGGGAGCUGAGCGACUUAGUCUUGUCCAGAAAAUGUUCGUUUUUCUUUUCAAUUGUACAGUACUGUCAAAUAUUUUGAUAUUUUUUUAACAGUGAGUGUGUGGGUUAAUACGGUUCUGUGGCCAUAGUUAAGAAACGAUGGAUAUAUAACUACUGUACACACCACAAAUAUGUGUGUGCCAUGUUUUCACUUAAACUUUGCAUAUAUGUAACAUAUCUUUAUUAUAAUACUUGGCUUGAGAAUGUGCUCAACUACCCGCCAUUUUUUACCAUGCGUACACAUUUGCUAGUGUGGUUGAAAUAUUGUAUUGCACGCUAGAAUGUAAUAGCUUAGAUGGUUAUGGGGGUUGUGAUGAAGUUUAAAAAAUAUAUAUAUAGAGAGAGAGAGAUUUUGAUUUGUUCAUACUCCCUUCGUAACCAUAGGUCGUUUUCAUCCACAUCUUCUUUGAUUAGACCUUUGAACAGUUGGAAUUCUGACAUUUAUCUAUACUCAUGUUGAACCUCAUUCUCACUUUUUAUCAAAUCUGGAGCACAGCUACUAGCAUUUUCCUCAAUAGAAUCUUAGUUCAUAUAGUAAGCCAAGAAAGUAUUGUGGAAUACAUAGCCAUGGUGGCCUUGAUUUACUAUGUAUGCUCUGAGUUUAUUUAGCAUAAAAUAUUCCCUAUAAGUGUUUUGUUAAGUGUAUUCUAUGGAGGACAAUGUUUGUAAGGGACUUAUACUCUUCAGAAAGACCCUAUUCUACAUGAAUGAUUGCAUCAAGUACAAGUCAAGAUGCCAAAACGCUAUAUCAACUGGGAGCUUGGUGAUGGUGGACCCCCUUUUUGCUUCAGUUGUGAAAUGAUCUUUCCAGACCAUGUGUCAUUUCAUGACCACUCAUGUCCUGUGGCGGGUUACAUCUGCUCCUGUGGAACAGAGUUCUCCAAGUAUGUGGAUAUGGUGGACCACAGUGGUUUACAUGAACCAGGCCAUACUGUCAUGAAUUAUAGCACCAUAAAAAAGCAACAAUAUCAGAGAGAGAGAGAACACAAGGAGCAGCUUGCCAGGCUGGAAUUGACAACGGGUCAAGGAAGUGGGGCUGUUCCGGGAUCGUCUCUGAUGCUUUUGGACCCUAUGACACAGGCCAACAAGCCUCCUUGCGGUGCAGGUGCUGCAACGAAAGAUCUCUGGCACCAGUUUCAGCCAGUGGUGUUGAUUGAGACACUGCGAAAGUUUGGUAGGACAAAGCCCUACAGGUGUGCAUACUGCGAACUGGGCUUUGCAACAAAAGACUUUCUCAUAUGGCAUCACAACACUCAUAUAAGGAAUAAAGUCCAUGGCUGCCUGCAGUGCGGUGUGCUCCUACUCAGCAACAAUAAGUCACCCCGGCCUAACCAUCAUCAGUGCAGCUCUCAACAGGCACCUCCUGAAACCAGAUUCACCACUGCCACAGUGCUGAGCAACAGGAAGCAGCCUGCCGGGUAUGGUAAGAAGGUCGUCCAGAAUCAACCCUGUCCUGACCUGUUCAGUAGUGAGCUCCAGCUAGGGAUGCAUAUGGUGUCACAGCAGCCUGGAUGGGAUAACGCUGUCACUGGCAGUUCUGGAAGAAAAGACUUGAUAUGUAGAGUGUGUCAGCAGACCUUCCAAACUGUUAAGUUACUCGAGAGACACCGUUGCACAAAGGCGGCAUCCUUUUUUGCACAGAAACUGUGUCUAACAUCUAGCAAACAGCUCAAUGGUCAUAGAAAGUGGGAGGGUACAAACCCGUACUCCUUGUCUCAAAGAAAUGGUGACAAGGAGCUGGCCUUCAACAUUCAAACUUCCAGAAAAGUGACUGUAUACCACAAGUCAGUUGGUCCACAUAGGGGUACAGGGUCGCCUGCCGUCUCUGCAAAGACUGCGCACGAUUCUGAUGAUGACUGUUUCGUGAUUGAAAGCUCAUCUACCAAACCUAGUCAACAGGUCUACCAAGAAUUAACUUCUUCCCUUCCAGUACUUCAGACAUGAACAGUGGAUGGGGACUCCCUAUGUGAAUCGCUGUAUUUGCAACAGACAUGAGCCACUUGUAGGUGUCAUGAUUAUGUCUAAGUAUGGUAUUUUGUAAGGUAGCAGUUUAGCUGUUAACUUUCUAUUAAUCUUAAAACUGUCAGUGGCCUGUUAUAUGUGUAUUUGUGUUUGUCACCUGACAUUGAAAACUUGGCAUAUGCAGUAUCUAAACAGGCUGCAUGUUUAAGACACGUUUUUGUUAUCCUUUUUAUUUUUUUACACAUUUGCUUGGUUUAAAGUGUGGUAUAAGCAGCUUUGGCCUGUAAAACAAGAACAUCUUUCAGCUGGUCAUUUCUGUGAUCAAAAUAAAUGUUUUUUCCUCUCUUGUCAUGAUUACAGUUUGAUGUGCUGUACUUACUGAUUGCUGACUUAGGCAAUUUAUCACUGAAAUAUUAUUUGUUAAGAUAUGUUAUCAAAGAUAUCUCCAGGAAUUUUUGUAAUCCCUGCCCAGAUAAGAUGAGUUUUGGAAAAACAGGAUAUUGUUUUGUUAAAACCUAUUAAUAGCUUUAUUUUUUUAACAUGG
ensembl:lncRNA